UGCAAAUCAAUAUAAAUUGAAAUUUAGGUUUUAUUUAUUAAUUUUUUAAUUUUUAUUUAUAAUUUAUUAAAAAUAAUUAUUUAAUUAAAUGUUUUAGUAAUUUUUAAUGAAAAAAUAAUUUUAUAAUAGUUUAAUAUGUAUUGUAAAAGAAUAUUGAAAUAGUUGAAAAAUUUUUAUUUAUAAAGAAAAUUUAUUUUGUUGUACCUUGUGUGUCAGGGUUUAUUAAAUAAUUAAUAAAUAUUUAUUAAUCUCGAUUUUAUAAGAGUUAAUAAUUUAUAAAAUUUAUUGUAUCAAAAUUAUUUUAAAUAAAUUAUUAGAAAUGAAAUGUUAUUCGUUUAUAAAGGUAUCUAGUUUUUUUAGAAAUAAAUUUAAUUUAUGAAAAUUUAAUUUUUUAUUUAUUUAUUUAAAUAAAAAAUUUAUUUUUUUUAAUAUUUUAGGGGAUAAGCUUUAAAAUAAAUUAUUAAAAAUUAAUAAUAAGUAUAAAAGUUAUAUGCUUAGAAUUAGCAAUUAAUUUUUAAUUUGUUAUAAAUUAUUUUAUAAUUUAUAUUAUUUAUUAAAUUUUAAUUUUAUAUAAAAAUAUUUUUAUAAAUUUAAUAUAAAAAGUAAUAAUGGUAGAAUUAGUAUAUUUUAUUGUUUAAUUAAUUUUAUAUGAUAAGUUUAGUUAAAGAAUUCGGCAAAUUUUAUACCCGCCUGUUUAACAAAAACAUGUCUUUUUGAAUUAUAUUUAAAGUCUAACCUGCCCCCUGAGUAAUUUAAAUGGCCGCAGUAUUUUAACUGUGCAAAGGUAGCAUAAUCAUUAGUCUUUUAAUUGAAGGCUGGUAUGAACGGUUGGACGAGGUAUAAACUGUUUCAUUUAAAUUUAUAUUAGAAUUUUAUUUUUUAGUUAAAAAGCUAAAAUUUUAUUAAAAGACGAGAAGACCCUAUAAAUCUUUAUAUUUUAUAUUAUUUAAGUUUUUUAGAUGUAUUUUAUUUUUAUAGUAGAAAAUAUUUUGUUGGGGUGAUAUUAAAAUUUAAUAAACUUUUAAUUUUAUUAAAUCAUUAAUUUAUGAUUAAUUGAUCCGUUAAUAACGAUUAUAAGAUUAAGUUACUUUAGGGAUAACAGCGUAAUUUUUUUGGAGAGUUCUUAUUGAUAAAAAAGUUUGCGACCUCGAUGUUGGAUUAAGAUAAAUUUUAGGUGUAGCUGCUUAAAUAUUAAGUCUGUUCGACUUUUAAA
rnacentral:rRNA from 1 species